rnacentral:rRNA from 1 species
UACAGAGGUCCCGAGCGUUGUUCGGAUUCACUGGGCGUAAAGGGUGCGCAGGUGGGUUGGCAAGUUCGAUGUGAAAGCCCCGGGCUUAACCCGGGAAUGGCAUUGGAUACUGCUGAUCUGGAGGAUCGGAGGGGGGACUGGAAUUCUUGGUGUAGCAGUGAAAUGCGUAGAUAUCAAGAGGAACACCAGUGGCGAAGGCGAGUCCCUGGACGAUACCUGACACUGAGGCACGAAAGCUAGGGGAGCAAACAGG